rnacentral:rRNA from 1 species
UACGUAGGUGGCGAGCGUUGUCCGGAUUUACUGGGCGUAAAGGGCUCGUAGGCGGCCUGUUGCGUCUGCCGUGAAAGCCCGGGGCUUAACUCCGGGUCUGCGGUGGAUACGGGCAGGCUAGAGUUCGGUAGGGGAGACUGGAAUUCCUGGUGUAGCGGUGAAAUGCGCAGAUAUCAGGAGGAACACCGGUGGCGAAGGCGGGUCUCUGGGCCACUACUGACGCUGAGAAGCGAAAGCAUGGGGAGCGAACAGGAUUAGAUACCCCGGUAGUCCCUGAG